rnacentral:lncRNA from 1 species
UAAAAAAUACACAUUAGAAACCUAAUAAAAAAACCACAUCUGACCAAAAGCACAUUAGAAACCUAAUAAAAAAACCACAUCUGACCAAAAGCGUCGUUCCCCCCUCACCCAUCUUCUUUUUCCUCACUUCUAACCUAAAAACACAAAAAAAAUCAAGACCCUCAUCUCUAUCCUGGCAACGGCACAGACCCCCCACCUCUUCUUUUCCAUUCCCUCGUUACCCUCACUCAACACUCAAUCACACACACAUACACGCCUGGACUACUGAGAGAAGAAGUUUGCACUUCAAAAUUUAAGAUCUAGAAAACUAAAAAAAAAUCGAAAAAAGGGAUUAAAAGGUUGUUUGAAUUUUGCUUCAUGGCUUUAUCGUUUCUGACUUUACAAGACUUUUUUCUAGUUAUAUGUUUGCUGGUUUGUUGCUGCUUCCGCUGGUGGAUCUCACUCUUUAUUCCAGACCUUGCUUGGUCAUUUAGUGUUAUUUUUACAGCUUCUAGGUAUGUAAAUUCUCACAUAUUCUCCUCUACUUGAGUCUAUGGUUUAAAUUUCGGAUUGCUCAUAUUGAGUUCGUGAUUGUUUACUCAGAUUUUGAUUGUGUUAAUUGCUUAUGGAUUGACUAUAUUUGAAUGUUUAGUAUACCUAUUCAAUUGUGGUAUUGUAAAAUGUCCUCUUCUGUUGCGCCAAUUGAUUGAUAUUGGCUCAUAUAAUGCUUAGGUCUAAUUUGCCGUUUAUGUAUAAUUACUGUGCGUUUUCAUUGUUAUUUUGAAUGAAGAUUGUUAUAUUCAAAAAGGUCUUCUUUGAUUUAUGAUUCAAAUAGCGCUAAGCAUAUGAGUUUCAUCGCCUCAAUUUAUUCAUCUGUUUUCUUGGAGUUAUGUACUUCUUUUAUGAAUUCCACUGAAAUCUUUUGGAUAAGUUCAUAUUAAUCGUUUGCUACUUUGGAUUAAGUGGCAUGCUUGCUUGAUACAAUUAUUAGAUUGGUGUAUUAAAUUAAUAUGGCAAUAAGUUUUGUUUAGCUAAUUGGAUUUUGUGAGUUGAUUUGUUAUAUUUGGAUUGGUUUGUGUUUGAUAAGCUUCAAGAGGAAUUGGGCAUGAACGUAAUGCUAGCCUUUUAUCCACAUUUAUUUCAUAAUUGUAAUAGUCAAAUCUUACACCUACCCACAAAUUACCUCCAUAAUUCGUGGCCUUACAAUAAUCUCAAAGUAGGAAGAACAAUCUUAUGAAUAUCGUAGUUUGCUAUAGGCGCGAUUAAUAAUGAUUUAUCGUGGCGAUGGGUACGGUUCCCGUGGCAUGGUCACGAUACAUAAUUCCAAAUUCGGGUGUGCAUUUCAUGUGACCCGACCACAACUUCGAAAAAUAAUAAAAAUGAACAUGUUGUAAAUCGCGGGUGCAUUUCAUGUGAUACGGUUUGCAAUGUGUACCAACACGAUAAGUGUACGACAAUCGUGGCUUGUUCUAGAAAUAAAUCCAUAAAUAAAUAAUAGCGGUUAAAAUGUUAAAAAUGCAUAAUAGGUUUAAAACAUGUAAUAAAUCAGAUAAUGAGGCCAAUUAUUAAUAGUUGAGCGACAGUGCUAAAACCACGAAACCCGGGAAUGCCUAACACCUUCUCCCGGGUUAACAGAAUUACUUACCCGGUCUUCAGUGUACGCGGACCAUAAAUAAGAGUCAAAUUUUCUCGAUUUGGGAUUUAAAAUAAACCGGUAACUUGGGAAACCAUAAAUUAUUCCAAGUGGUGACUCUAAAAUUAAAUAAAUAAUCCCAUUUCGAUUUAUGUCACUUUAAUUGGAAAAACUCCCUUAUACCCCUUAUUGGGUAAAAAGGAGGUGUGACAGCUCUGGCUACUCCGCUGAGGAAAUGAACCCAGAACAUCUGGUUCAAGGUUAAGAAUUCGAGCUUAGAAAUGUUAUAGUUGGCUUUUAUCUAUUAUCUGAUUUUUAUAUGUUUGAGCCUAAUGUGCUCAAUGCUACUUUUUACUGCUUUGAUAUUGUUUUAACUGUAUAUAAAACUGUCACGAAACCCUUCUUCUCUCUGAGUCUUCUAAAUCUUCUGGGAAGCGUGAGCUUCGCGUGACUUCUUUUCUGUUAGAGUCAUAUCCUAAUUUUAGAACGAGGUUCAGAUAAGUUGCAAAGCCGAUGAAGCUUCUGUAUUCCCGGUACUCUGCCCUCCCCCCUCCGGCUUGAGCUAUCAGCUCGAGUAAGCCAAGUCUAGAACAAUACACCCAGGUUUUAAACCUAGAAUGACAUAGCCUCAUGCUGGAUUCCUAGUAGGAACGCUUGUUUGCAUCACGUGCAUUUGACUUUGGAGACUCAACACAGGGGUUGGGUCCGUCUAGGACAAGUGUACCCAAAAAUUUAAAGACCAUCUUGAUGCAUCCUACGUGCUACUUGCGCAUCUAUUUGUUUCGGCUUGCAUGUUGACCGGCUUCUAGAAUAAGGAAGGAAAAUCAAAAAAAAAUAUUCAAAAAAAAAAAGAGUGAGAGGUAGGUAUUUGGAAAAUUCUGAAACUCUGCCAAAAUUUUGAAAAAAAAAAGAGAAAUAAAAUAAGCCAAAGUUAUCAAAAGUCAUGAUUCCCUGUUCCGUCAAAAUUGACCGAACUACGCGGGUCUGAUUCUCACCGGAUGUGAGAUACAUAGGCAAACCUAAUCGGUUCUGGCCCAUUUUUUUUAAAAAAAUCCAAAAUUUUUUUCUCUUAAUUCCUUCUUUAGAAGCAUUUCCUUAGAAAAUUACAAAAAAAAAAAAAAGAUUUUUAAACUAAAAAAGUAGUUUCCUUCUUUCUGAAGUCUUUCAUAUGGAAAAAAAGGAAAAGAAAAGUCAAUCAAAAAUCAAAAUCCAGAAUAUGAGUUUCCUUUAUUUUGAAGUAUUUUUCUCAAAAAUCCAAAAAAAUUAGAACCAAAAAAAAUAAUCCAAAAAAAUAUAUUCUUUUUCCUUUUUUAAAAGUCUUUCUUUCGUAAAUGUCAAAACAAAAAUUAAAAAAUUGAAGUCCAAUAAUAUUUUCAUUUAGAAGUACUUUUGUAAAUUUAAAAACAAAAAACUCAGAAAUCCAAAAUAUUUUCCUUAAAAGUCCCUCUUUCAAAAAUUAAGAGCGACAUCCAAAAUNNNNNNNNNNNNNNNNNNNNNNNNNNNNNNNNNNNNNNNNNNNNNNNNNNNNNNNNNNNNNNNNNNNNNNNNNNNNNNNNNNNNNNNNNNNNNNNNNNNNNNNNNNNNNNNNNNNNNNNNNNNNNNNNNNNNNNNNNNNNNNNNNNNNNNNNNNNNNNNNNNNNNNNNNNNNNNNNNNNNNNNNNNNNNNNNNNNNNNNNNNNNNNNNNNNNNNNNNNNNNNNNNNNNNNNNNNNNNNNNNNNNNNNNNNNNNNNNNNNNNNNNNNNNNNNNNNNNNNNNNNNNNNNNNNNNNNNNNNNNNNNNNNNNNNNNNNNNNNNNNNNNNNNNNNNNNNNNNNNNNNNNNNNNNNNNNNNNNNNGUAAAGUAAACAAAUGGAAGUUCACCCCUCGGCCACAGUAUCAACAAAUCCGCCCCUCGGGCAACAUCUCAGAACAAUACCAGCCCUUCGGGCUCAAUCUCACAUCACAAUGGGUACCCGCACUAACUGGGGUGUACAGACUCCUAGAAGGGCCCCUUAUGGCCCAAGCGCAAUAUCAAGCCACCUCGUGGCAUCAUCACUAGGCCCUCGGCCUCAUAUCAAUCAAGCCACCUCGUGGCGUACAUAUCUCACGCCCUCGGCCUCAUAAUCAGUAUCAAAUGUCUCCUCACAACAUAGGCCCUCGGCCUUACUCAAUCAAAAAUCCUCACAAGCCACUCGGGCUAUAGUAAAACAGUGUUUCUCGGCCCAAACAUCAUUUAAAAUAUCAUUUAUGUAUUAAAACUGAGUAAACAUGGCCGAAUACGAAAACAGUGGAAAAUAACAUGACUGAGUUCAAGUAUAUAGUCAAAACAGUGAGGAAAUAUCAAUAAAAAUCCCUGAAGGGUUCAAAUAGUUGGCACGAAGCCCAAAUAUGACAUUCAGCCCAAAUCAUGAUGAUAGCAAAUAGAUUUCAACCAAAUACGCGGUAAAAUAGCAUUCGGGAUGGACUAAGUGACAAUCCCCAACAGUGCACGACCCCUCUCUCGUCAUCCAGCGUGUGCCUCACCUCAAUAUAGCACUAAGAUAUGCAAAACCGGGGUUUCAACCCCUCAGAACAUCAUUUACAAUCAUUACUCAUCUCGAACUGGUAAAAUCUCUAUCUCGCGAUGCCUUUGCCCCUCGAACGAGCCUCCACUCGCGUCGAAUCUAUCGAAAAUCAGAACGAGGAUGUCAAAAUAAGCUAAGGGAACGAAGCCCAAGCGAAAACAAUCAAUAAAUGGCCCAAAUCCCGAAAUUACCAAAAUCCGACCCCCGGUCCCACAUCUCGGAAUUCAAUAAUUUUUACUUCAAUACGUUCCUUAUCUCCCCACGAGUUCAUACAUAUCAAAAGUUCUGAAAUCCGACCUCAAAUGGUCCUUCAAAUCCUCAAUUAAAGGCCUAAAUUCCCAAGCCCUAGUUUCCCCAAUUUUCACCCUUAAUUUCCAUGAUUUCUAGCCGUAAUCCAUGAAAUAAAAACAUAGUAACGAGCUUUAGGUCCAAAUUCCUUACCUCAAUGAAGUUCCCUUGAAAUCCCUCUUUCAAAUCACCCAAAAAGCUCCCAAGCUGAGAUAAAUAUGGUGAAAUAGCUCAAAAUUCGUGAACGCUACAAUUUAUACCUUCUGCCCAGUCAUUUUUGCAUCUGUGGCACAAUACCCGCUUUUGCGGUACCGCAUUUGCGGUUAUUUCUCCGCUUCUGCAGAUAUCACUUAGCUUAUGAUUUUUCCGCUUCUGCGAUCCCUCAUUCGCAUCUGCGAUAUCGCAGAUGCGGUCCAUCUCACCGCUUCUACGGUUCCUGACCGCCUCAUCAUUUUCUGUCUUCUACAGCUGCUCUUCUGCACGUCCGGUGUCGCACCUGCGGUCCCCAAUCCNNNNNNNNNNNNNNNNNNNNNNNNNNNNNNNNNNNNNNNNNNNNNNNNNNNNNNNNNNNNNNNNNNNNNNNNNNNNNNNNNNNNNNNNNNNNNNNNNNNNNNNNNNNNNNNNNNNNNNNNNNNNNNNNNNNNNNNNNNNNNNNNNNNNNNNNNNNNNNNNNNNNNNNNNNNNNNNNNNNNNNNNNNNNNNNNNNNNNNNNNNNNNNNNNNNNNNNNNNNNNNNNNNNNNNNNNNNNNNNNNNNNNNNNNNNNNNNNNNNNNNNNNNNNNNNNNNNNNNNNNNNNNNNNNNNNNNNNNNNNNNNNNNNNNNNNNNNNNNNNNNNNNNNNNNNNNNNNNNNNNNNNNNNNNNNNNNNNNNNNNNNNNNNNNNNNNNNNNNNNNNNNNNNNNNNNNNNNNNNNNNNNNNNNNNNNNNNNNNNNNNNNNNNNNNNNNNNNNNNNNNNNNNNNNNNNNNNNNNNNNNNNNNNNNNNNNNNNNNNNNNNNNNNNNNNNNNNNNNNNNNNNNNNNNNNNNNNNNNNNNNNNNNNNNNNNNNNNNNNNNNNNNNNNNNNNNNNNNNNNNNNNNNNNNNNNNNNNNNNNNNNNNNNNNNNNNNNNNNNNNNNNNNNNNNNNNNNNNNNNNNNNNNNNNNNNNNNNNNNNNNNNNNNNNNNNNNNNNNNNNNNNNNNNNNNNNNNNNNNNNNNNNNNNNNNNNNNNNNNNNNNNNNNNNNNNNNNNNNNNNNNNNNNNNNNNNGCUUUUGCGGUACCGCAUUUGCGGUUAUUUCUCCGCUUCUGCAGAUAUCACUUAGCUUAUGAUUUUUCCGCUUCUGCGAUCCCUCAUUCGCAUCUGCGAUAUCGCAGAUGCGGUCCAUCUCACCGCUUCUACGGUUCCUGACCGCCUCAUCAUUUUCUGCUUCUACAGCUGCUCUUCUGCACGUCCGGUGUCGCACCUGCGGUCCCCAAUCUGUAGGUGCGGAAAUACCAGAAGAGUAAAGUUCAACAACUGUAACAAGGUUUCAAACUCCCCGUCAACCAUUCAAAAUCAUCCCAAGGCCCCCAGACCUCAACCAAAAGCACAAACAUAUCCUAAUACCUUAUUCGAACUUGUUCCAAUCAUCGAAGUAUCUCAAACAACAUCAAAUCACCCAAAACAAAUUAAAUUCAAGCCAAACUUUCUAAAAUCUUCUGAAUUUCACUUUUGAUCCAAAAACCCAACCAAACCACGUCCGAAUGACCUGAAAUUUUGCACGUACAUCCCAAAUGACACAACGGAAUUACUACAACUUUCGGAAUUCUAUUCUGACCCAUAUAUCAAAAUCUCGCCUACCAACCGGAAAUCGCCAAAAUAUCAAAUUCGCAAAUUCAAGCCUAAAUCUACUCUGAACCUCCAAAACUCAUUCUGAUCAUGCUCCUAAGACAUAAAUCACCUCCCGAAGCUAACCGAACCAUCGAAACUCACAUCCGAGCCCUCUAACAGAUAAGUCAACAUCCUGUUGACUUUUUUCAACUUAAGCUUACUUAAAAGAGACUAAGUGUCUCAAACCUUACCAAAAUCAUUCCGGAUUCGAUCCGACCAACUCGAUACCACAUAACACGGAUAAACAAAACAUAAGGAAAGCAGAAAUGGGGGAAACACAUCGGUAACUCAUGAGACGACUGGCUGGGUCAUCACAUCCUCCCCAACUUAAACAAAUGUUCAUCCUCGAACGAGUCAAGACACAUACCAGAAGCCUCAAACAGGUGAGGAUAUCUGCUCCGCAUCUCCUGCUCGGUCUCCCAGGUAGCCUCCUCCACGGGCCGACCUCUCCACUGCACUUUCACUGAAGCUAUAUCUUUCGACCUUAACUUUCGAACCUGACGACCCAAAACAGCUACUGACUCCACAUCAUAAGUCAAAUUAUCAUCCAACUGAACCGUGAUGAAAUCCAAAACAUGAGACAGAUCCCCAAUAUACUUCCAGAGCAUAGAAACAUGAAAUACCGGAUGCACACUCGAUAAGCUGGGUGGCAAGGCAAGCUCAUAAGCCACCUCUCCAAUCCUCCGAAGCACCUCAAAAGGCCUAAUCAACCGAGGACUCAAUUUCCCCUUCUUCCCAAAUCUCAUAACACCCUUCAUGGGCGAAACCUUAAACAGAACCUUCUUACCAACCAUGUAGGACACAUCUCAAACCUUCCUAUCAGCAUAACUCUUUUGUCUCGACUGCGCUGUACGAAGCCUCUCCUAAAUCACCUUCACCUUUUCUAAGCAUCCUACACCAAAUCUGUCCCCAAUAGCGUAGCCUCACCGGGCUCAAACCAACCAACUGGAGAUCUACACCGCCUCUCAUACAAAGCCUCAUAUGGAGCCAUCUGAAUACUCGCCUGGUAGCUGUUGUUAUAAGCAAACUCUGCAAGCGAUAGAAACUAAUCCCAUGACCCUCCGAAAUCAAUGACACAAACAUGCAACAUGUCCUCCAAUAUUUGAAUAGUGCGCUGGGACUGCCCGUCCGUCUAAUGGUGAAAAGUUGUGCUCAACUUAACCUGAGUACCCAACUCUCACUGCACAGACCUCCAAAACUUCAAAGUAAAUUGAGUGCCCCUAUCUGAAAUGAUGGAAACUGGGACACCAUGCAAAUGAACAAUCUCCUGGAUAUAGAUCUCUGCCAAGCGCUUUAAAGAAUAAGUAGUACACACAUGAAUGAAGUGCGCGGACUUGGUCAGUCGAUCCACAAUCACCCAAAUAGAAUUGAACUUCCUCAAAGUCCGUGGAAGUCCAACAACAAAGUCCAUAGUGAUCAUCUCCCACUUCCACUCGGGAAUAUCCAUCUACUGAAGCAAGCCACCCGGUCUCUGAUGCUCAUAUUUCACCUACAGGAAAUUGAGAUACCGAGCUACGAAUCCCACAAUAUCUUUCUUCAUUCUCCACCACCAAUAUUGCUGCCUCAAAUCCUGAUACAUCUUCACGACACCCGGAUGAAUGGAAUACCGCGAGCUAUGGGCCUCCUCAAGGAUCAACUCCCUAAGCCUAUCCACAUUGGGCACACAGAUCCGGCCCUGCAUCCUCAACACCCCAUCAUCUCCAAUGGUCAUGUCUCUAACAUCAUCAUGCUAAACUCUGUCCUUAAGGACAAACAAGUGUGGAUCAUCAUACUGGCGCUCUCUGAUGCGAUCAUAUAAGGAAGACCGAGAAACCACACAAGCCAUUACUCGACUUGGCUCCGAAAUAUCUAACCAUAUGAACCGAUUGGCCAAGGACUAAACAUCAACUGCAAGAGGUCUCUCCCCAACUGGAAUAUAUGCCAAACUCCCCAUACUCACUGCCUUUCGGCUCAAGGCAUCGGCCACCACAUUGGCCUUUUCAGGAUGGUAUAAUAUAGUGAUAUCAUAAUACUUAUGCAACUCCAACCAUCUCUUCUGUCUCAAAUUAAGAUCCUUUUACUUGAACAAAUGUUGAAGACUACGAUGAUCAGUGAGCACCUCACAAGAUACGCCAUACAAGUAAUGCCAUCAAAUCUUCAAUGCGUGAACUAUGGAAGCCAACAUUAAAUCAUGAAUGGGGUAGUUCUUCUCAUUGGGCUUCAACUGACGAGAAGCAUAAGCAAUAAAUCUACCCUCCUGAAUCAAUACACAACCAAUUCCAACUCUCGAAGCAUCACAAUACACGGUAUAUGAACCUAAAGCUGAUGGCAAAACUAACACUGGAAUUGUAGUAAAAGUUGUCUAGAGCUUCUGAAAGCUCUCCUCACACUCGUCCGACCAUACAAAUGAAGCACCUUUCUGAGUUAACUUGGUCAAGGACGAUGCGAUAGAUGAGAAUCCUGGAAUAAAAUGGCGAUAAUAACCCGCCAAACCAAGAAAGCUGUGAAUCUUUGUGGCUGAGGACGAUCUAGGACAACUCUGAGCCACCUUUAUCUUCUUCAAAUCAAUCUGAAUACCCUCAUUGGACACCACGUGCCCCAAGAAAGCCACUGAACUGAGCCAAAACUCACACUUGGAGAAUUUUGCAUAAAGCUUCUCCUCCCUCAAUCUCUGCAACAUAACUCUCAAAUGCUCCGUAUGCUCCUCCUAACUACGCGAAUAUACCAGAAUAUCAUCAAUGAAGACUAUGACAAACGAGUCAAGAUAAGGCCAGAACACACUCUUCAUCAAAUGCAUGAACGCUGCUAGGGCAUUGGUCAGCCCAAAAGACAUUACCAAGAACUCAUAAUGACCAUAUUGAGUCCUUAAUGCGGUCUUAAGAAUAUCUGAGUCCCUGAUCUUCAACUGGUGAUAACCUGAACAUAGAUCAAUCUUGCAGAACACUCUUGCUCCCUGAAGUUGGUCGAAUAAAUCAUCAAUGCGAGGAAAAGGAUACUUGUCCUUAAUUGUUACUUUGUUCAAUUGCCUAUAAUCAAUGCACGUUCUCAUAGUNNNNNNNNNNNNNNNNNNNNNNNNNUAACUUUCUUCAACUCCGCUGGUGCCAUACAAUACGGCAGAAUAGAAAUGGGCUGAGUGCCCGGUACCAGGUUAAUACCAAAAUCAAUAUCCCUAUCUGGUGGCAUGCUCGCCAGGUCAGCAAGAAACACAUCGGGAAAAUCCCUCACAACUGGAACAGAAUCAAUACUAGGAGUCUCAGUACUGACUUCCCUCACAAAGGCUAGAUACGAAAGACAACCCUUCCCAACCAUAUGCUGCGCUUUUAAGAAUAAGAUCACUCUACUGGGAACAUAAUCAGUCAUACCUUGCCACUCAAUCCGUGGCACACCCAGUAUAGCUAAUGUGACUGUCUUAGCAUGACAGUCCAGAAUAGCACAACAUAGAGAUAGCCAAUCCAUGACCAAAAUGGCAUCGAAAUCCACCAUACACAAUAAUAAAAGAUCCACACGGGUCUCCAGACCCCCAAUAGUCACCACAAACGAUCGGUACACACGAUCUACAAUAAUAGUAUCACCCACCGGGGUAGAUGCAUAAAUAGGUGAAGCAAGAAACUCACGGGUGUACCCAAAUAAUGAGCAAAGUAUGAUGACACAUAAGAAAAGGUGGAACCGAGAUCAAAUAAUACAGAGACAUCUCUGUGGCAGACUGAAACAAUACCCGUAAUAACUGCAUCUGAAGCAAUAACAUCGGGUCUACCGGGAAGUGUAUAGAAAUGGGCCUGACCACUACUUGAUCUACCUUCCACUUGGGGGUGACCCAUAACUAACUGACCUCCACCCCUAUCUGGCUGGGAAGGUAGUGGUGAAGUAACUGGCGCUAAAGCCGAUGCUUGACCCCUCUGCUGAGAUGAGCUCGCAAGAUGAUGAUGGAACUGCCUCCACAUAAGACCCAUCUUACCACACUCAUAAGAAAUCCUAAGUUCUAGAGAAGGGGACUGAAGGGAACCCCUCGCACCAGAGUGACUAGAGAUGCACUCGGCAUAGAAGAGCCCUGAACUGAUGGAGCACGGGACAAACUCUAAGCUAGAAGGGCACUAAGUGAUGACUGACCCUGAUGAGAACUAUGAGAACCAUAACACGAUGACGCCCUAUGAUAACCUGGGCGAGCUAGCUGAGCAUGCCUGAAUGGACGACCUUUGCCAUGCUGAAACUAACCCCUCAAAGGAGUACCACUGUAACUACCAGAUCCUCGAGGCCUCUUGUCCUCCCUCUCCUCGCGCUCCUAGCAACGAACACACUCAAUCUCCCGGGCAAUAUCCAUAACCUCCUCGAAAGUAGGAACAAUCACUCUCUCUGGUCAUGAUAAUACGAAGCUGAUAAGUGAGGCCAUCCACAAACCUCCUAAUCAUCUAUCUAUCUGUUGGAACCAUCCAAAUAGCAUGACGAGCUAACUCAGAGAACCUCAUCUUGUACUGCGUCACACUCAUCUCUCCUUGACGCAGCCACUCAAACUCUCUAUACAGCUCUUCUGUGCGGGACUGCGGCACAUACUUCUCCAAAAGGAGAAUGGAGAACUGCUGCUAGGUAAGGGGUGCUACACCAACAGGCCUACACCUCUCAAAAGCCUCCCACAAAGUAAACGCAGCUCCAAAAAACUGAUAGGUAGUGAAAGAGACUCCGUUGGUCUCAAGAGUACCCGCUGUACGAAGCAUCCUCUGGCACUUAUCAAAGAAACCCUGGGCAUCCUCGCCCUCUGCACUACUGAAGGUCGGAGGCUGAAGCCUACCAAACCUCUCCAAUGUACGCUACUCAUCCUCCGUCAAAGCAAGAACUACAUAGUCCUAAGCAACUGCAACCGGCUGGGCUGGAUGUGCCCCCAACAUCUGAAGUCCCUGCACGACCUGCUCAGGUGUGGGAGCGGCGGGAGUCUGAUUGCCUCCCCCAGUCUGAGAAGUAGCUGUGGCUGUAGUGGCUGAAAUCGCUUGAGCUAGGCCAGUGCAAACUACUGAUAAGAUCAGAGCCAAGGCCUCCUGAAGACUCGGAAUCACAAUGGGCACAGCUGGUGCUUAAGCUGGUGUUGAAGGAGCGUCCAUAACUGGGACCUGAUCCUGAACUGGGGCAGCUGGUGGAUCUACAGGUGCUGCCCUAGUUGCUCUGCCCCUACCAUGACCACGGUCGCGUCCUCGGCCUCUGGUGUCCACAACUGGUGGUAUUGAUGGUCGUCCAUCCUGACUGGUAGUGCGUGUCCUCACCAUCUAUGAGAGAAUAAAACAACAGAAGUUUAGUACUCGGAUCAACAAAUUCGCACGACAAGGAUUUCAAGAAUAUGAAGUUUUUCCUAAAGGUGUUGCAACCUCUCGAGGAUAAAUACAGACGUCUCUAUACCGAUCCACGAGACUCUACUAAACCUGCUCAUGACUCGUGAGACCUAUGUAACCUAGGCUCUGAUACCAACUUGUCACGACCCUAAAUCCAGACCCGGUCGUGAUGGCGCCUCUCGUGAAGACAAGGCCAACGACACUUUCCAUUUUCCAAUUAUUAACAGUUAAGCAUUUAAGAAACGGUAUAAACAUGAUAAAAUAAAUUCGAAAUAACAAUGAUAACAUAAACACGCGGAAGAACAACCAUACACAGCCCUAACCGGGGUGUCACUAGUCAUGAGCAUCUAUAAGUCAUAAUACAAAUCCGCUAAGUCAAUAAACUAGUACAACUAUCUGAAAAGAGAUAGAAGUGAUAAAGGAGUAGAGACACGGGGCUGCGGACGCCAAUAGCUACCUCGUGAACUCCGAAUAUCCGCCUGAAGCUGGAGGGAUCAGCACUCGGGAGCGGAACCAGCUACGCCUGAAUCUGCACACAGGGUGCAGGGAAUAAAGUGAGUACUCCAACUCAGUGAGUAAAAAAUGUAAAUAACAACUGAAAGUAAGAGAACAUUUAAGGCACAAUGCAUUCUAUAAUGAAGCAGUAAAAUAGUAUAAAAGCAGUAAACCAGUGAAAAGUUAAGUAACAAUCCUUUUUCAACAAGUAAACAGGUAAUUGUCAGGCAGUUAAGGUAAAGUAAAUAAAUGGAAGUUCGCCCCUUGGACACAGUAUCAACAAAUUCGCCCCUCUGGUGACAUCUUAGAACAAUACCAGCCCCUCGGGCUCAAUCUCACAUCACGAUGGGUACCCACACUCACUGGGGGUGUAUAGACUCCUGGAGGGGACCCUUAUGGCCCAAGCGCAAUAUCAAGCCACCUCGUGGCAUCAUCACUAGGCCCUCGGCCUCAUAUCAAUCAAGCCACCUCGUGGUGCACAUAUCUCAGGCCCUCAGCCUCAUAAUCAGUAUCAAAUGUCUCCUCACAACAUAGGCCCUCGGCCUUACUCAGUGAAAUAUCCUCACAAGCCACUCGGGCUAUAGUAAAAAAGUGUUUCUCAUCCCAAAACAUCAUUUAAAAUAUCCUUUAAGUAUUAAAACUGAGCAAACAUGGCUGAGUAUGAAAACAGUGAAAAAUAACAUGACUUAGUUCAAGUAUAUAGUAAAAACAGUGAGGAAAUAUCAAUAAAAAUCCCCGAAGGGUUCAAAUAGUUGGCACGAAGCCCAAAUAUGGCAUGAAGCCCAAAUAUGGCAUUCAGCCCAAAUCAUGAUGAUGGCAAAUAGAUUUCAGUCAAAUACGAGGUAAAAUAGUCAUUCGGAACGGACUAAGUCACAAUCCACAAUAGUGCAUGACCCCACACUCGUCAUCCAGCGUGUGCCUCACCUCAAUAUAGAACUAUGAUGUGCAAAUCCGGUGUUUCAAACCCUCAGAACAUCAUUUACAAUCAUUACUCACCUCGAACCUAUCAAAUCUCAAGCUCGCGACGCCUUUACCCCUCGAAUCAGCCUUCCCUCACGUCGAAUCUAUCCAAAAUUAGAAUGAGGACAUCAAAAUAAGCUAAGGGAACGAAGCCUAAGCGAAAACAAUCAGUAAAUAGCACAAAUCCCAAAAUUACCAAAACCCGACCCCCGGGCCCACGUCUCUAAAUUCAAUAAUUUUUUCAUCAAUAGAUUCCUUAUCUCCCUACGAGUUCAUACAUAUCAAAAGUUCUGAAAUCCGACCUGAAAUGGUCCUUCAAAUCCUCAAUUAAAGACCUAAAUUCCCAAGCCGUAGUUUCCCCGAUUUUCACCCUUAAUUUCCAUGAUGUAUAGCCUUAAUCCAUGAAAUAAUAACAUAGGAACAAGCUUUAGGUCCAAAUUCCUUACCUCAAUGAAGUUCACUUGAAAUCCCUCUUUCAAUUCGCCCAAAAAGCUCCCAAGCCGAGAUAAAUAUGGUGAAAUAGCUCAAAAUUCGCGAAGGCUACAAUUUAUACCUUCUGCUCAGUCAUUUUUGCAUCUGCGGCACAAUACCCACUUCUGCGGUACCGCACUUGUGGAUAUUUCUCCGCUUCUGCGGAUAUCACUUAGCUUAUGAUUUUUCCGCUUCUGUGAUCCUUCAUCCACAUCUGCGACAUAGCAGAUGCGGUCCAUCUCACCACUUCUACGGUUCCUAACUCCCUCAGCAUUUUCCACUUCUGCGGCUCCUCUUCUGCACAUGCGGCGUCAUACCUGCGGUCCCCAAUCCGCAGGUGCGGAAAUACCAUAAGAGCAAAGUUCAGCAGCUGCAACAAGGUUUUAAACUCACCGUCAACCAUCCGAAAUCAUCCCGAGGCCCCCGGGACUUCAACCAAAAGCACAAACAUAUCCUAAUACCUUUUUCGAACUUGUUCCAAUCAUCAAAAUACCUCAAACAACAUCAAAUCACCCAAAACACAUCAAAUUCAAGCUAAACUUUCUAAAAUCUUCCGAAUUUUGCUUUUGAUCCAAAAACCCAACCAAACCACAUUCGGAUGACCUGAAAUUUUGCACGCACAUCCCAAAUGACCCAACGGAAUUACUGUAACUCUCUGAAUUCCAUUCCGACCCCUAUAUCAAAAUCUCGCCCACCAACUAGAAAUUACCAAAAUAUCAACUUUGUCAAUUCAAGCCUAAAUCUACUGCGAACCUCCAAAACUCAUUUCGAUCACGCUCCUAAGUCACAAAUCACCUCCCUAAGCUAAAUGAACCAUCAGAACUCACAUCCGAGCCCUCUAACACAUAAGUCAAUAUCCACUUGACUUUUUUCAACUUAAGCUUACUCAAAAGAGACUAAGUGUCUCAAACCUUACCAAAAUCAUUUCGGAUUCGAUCCGACCAACCCAAUACCACAAAACACGGAUAAACAAAACAUAAGGAAAGCAGAAAUGGGGGAAACGGAGCGGUAACUCAUGAGACAACUAGCCAGAUCGUCAGACAAUCCCUAUCAGAUUCGAUAAUAUUAAUUGAGUAAAAAGUAAACUGAAAAAAAAAGAAAAAUUGAGUGGAAAAAAAAGAGAAAAGAAAAAAGUGAAAAAAAAGAAAGAAAAAAGAGAGUGACAAAAAAUAAAAGAGUGACAAAAGAAAAGAAAAGAGAGUCCUAAAAAAUAAAAGAGCGACAGAAAUGAAAUGGAAAAAAAGUCAAGAUUGAUUAAAGAGAGGCAAAAAUAAAAGAAGAGAGGUACAUACUGAAAGAGGUUCGUUAAGGUCGCGAUGAAACAUGCAACCGUUCAAACACAAGGUAGAAGUAUUUAACUGUUAGGUGCAUUGCAUCCCAACAUGCGAUUUCCUAUAUGUUAAAUGUCUCAAAACUAACAAGGUUGUGGUGUGAUCAAAUUAGCUAGGUUCUGUUCAGGUGGUUGGUUUUGCUGGUAUGCGAUGAUGAACGCGCAACCUUGCACACGGCCACAACAUUAUACACAAAACCGAACUCCACCUCCCAGAAAUGCCUAUCCUUACCAAGCUCCAUAUAAUCCCUAAUCAAAUGUUCCCUAGUACAAUCCUCACCCAAGAGAGCCUUUCAAAAUGAAUCACUUCACCCCUAUUUGGGAAUCAUACUCGGGCUUGUUCCAAAAGCUAGUCAGGCGAGGUUUGCUGUAGCUAGUGGCCCCAAACCGGCCAAAGCCCGAGUUUCGCUCGCAUCGAGCUGAUGCUAGAUGUAAAUACCACUCUGGAGCAGUGGGACACAAUACAGAGGAUUGUUAGAUCCUCAAAAGGGAAGUUGAAAACUUGAUUGAAGCUGAAAGAAUCAUUCUCCGAGACGAAGAGGCUCCUGAUGUGAUGAACCAUCUGUUUCCUGCUUACCAUGAGGAAUUCGAUCCGGCACUGAAGGCCAUUGUAUCCAUCGCCAAGACAGAAGAAAAGCAAAAUGGCCGCCAAGCCUAAAAGUUCCCUAUCAGAUGAGAAUCUUGGUAGCAAGUCUUGCUAUACUUUCUGCGUCCGGAUUAUCUCGGGGUGUGAUCCUAAUGUUUUACUUUAUUAUCUUACUUUCCGAUGUAAACCCUUCUAUUUUUAAAAUUAAAAAAAAACACAAAAAAAUCAAAUAAAAUUAAUAUUUCAUCGUCUAGGAAUUUCUUUUUUCUUAAUCUUGUCACUUUUCUUAUUCUCUUUUUAGUUCUGUUAAAAUGAAAAUUUCAAUCACAUGACAUGCUUGCGGACUUCAUGCCCGUAUCCUAAAACAUUGUUAGACCUCGAAAUAAUGAAUCAAGAAUUAGAUUGCAAUGAAGAUAAGUUCAAGGAAAUAAAACAAAGAGUUGGAACAGCUUCAGGAAAAUUGGUUCCAGAUUGGAAAGGUCCAUACAUCGCAACAAGAGUACUGCCAAAAGAGUGCAUUGUACUUGGGACACAUCAAAGGAAAUGUCCCUAAAACAACUGUCAAUGCAAAUGCAGCCAAAAGGUACUAUGUUUGAUCCUUCAUAUAGUAUUAAUAUUCUCCGGUUGGGAUGACGAAGGCUUUCAUUCUCACUACCCAAACACCAUUAACCCUUUUGUAAACUAUUUGAGCUGGUUACUCUUCUUUAAUUACCCUCUUUGGAACCUAAAAAUGUUAUUGAAAAAAAAAUAAAAAAGGAGAAGAAAAGAACAAUAAAAAAAGAAGAAAAGACAAAGAAAAUGAAAAAAAAGAUAGGAAAAAGGAAACAAAAAAGAACGAGAAAAAAAAGAAAAUCAAAAACAAAGUUCCCUGAACUAUGUUUGACUUGAUUCCGAAAGGAUACGUAGGUAGCCUCUCUCUGGGGUUCAGUCACACCAAAAUAAAAAUCUAGAUUCCCAAAAAAAUAGAAGCUGAAACUGGGGCAGAAGUUAUAAUGGUUUGGCGAUGGUUUUCGCCUGAAAGGUUCCAAAGUUGUAAUUCAAUCCAAAUUCUUUUUAUCCCAAAUCCUAUUCAAGUCCUUCCGACCAAUAGAUAAAGAUUUCCAAUUGGAGGAUAUAGUUACUUGGACCUGAUACAACCAAAUGAGAGAAAUAAAAUGAGAGAGUCUUAUUGGUGAAAACCCACACGAGCACCGUGAGGCGACAGUAAACAGAGAAAAUAAAAAUGAGAGAGUCUUGUUAGUGAAAACUUGUAAAGAGCACUAUAAGGCGAUGGUGAGAAGAGAAAUGAGAGAGGUCAGCUCGUGAAAACCCGCAAAGGGCGCCCCUGAUCGAAAAGAGGAUCCUCAUAGCCAUCAGCAUCGACAGAGUCCUGGCAAGGUUUCUCAGAUUUUGAGGCAAAAGUUGUGAUGAAUUUUUGAAAGUCGGAUGAUUUACACAGAUCAGGCAUCCAGUCCAAAAGGUAUGUCAUAUUCAUUAAAGUCCGCAUGUACUCCAGAUAAGUCCUUCUUUCCUUUACCCAAAAGGGACACUUCUUGUUUUAAACUCAUUCUCCAUUCCAUUGUUUGUUUUCUUUGAAUCUCUUUCGGUCUAAAUCUGUUCCGAAACUAAGACAAACAAAGGAUGGUAAGACUGAUUUACAUGGUUCUCAUUUGAUACAAGUCAAUAUGCAAAAGUCACCAGUCUCGGGAGGGGCAUCAAGUCGACCUCGACUGGCCAUAGUGGCUGAUGUUUUGAAAUUGAAAACUCUUGGAAGGAGAAAAUCAAAUUGAAGUGCCUAUAAAAAAAUAAAGUUGAAAAGGUUGUGUCCCAUGCAGCUAACUAUUCCGGCAAAGGUUUGAAAAGCCAAGGUACCCCAAAUGCUUUGAAACUGAAAUUGGAAGAAAGAAACUAGAAAUGAAAGCCUACAAAGGCGAAAUAAAGUUGAAAGGUUAAGUCCUACACAACUAACCGUUGCAGCUAAGUUUGAGGAGCCAAAAGUUUCCCAAUGCUCCGAAGUUUUUAUAAAAAAAGAAAGAAAAGAAAAAACGAUGAAGAAGAAAAAUAACAAGUCAGAAAAGAAAGGCCUAGAAGGAAAAAUAAAGUCGAAAAAUUUGAGUUCCACCGACCAACCGUCAUGGCAAAGUCUGGAAAAACUAGAGGUUCUCCAAGGCCUGAAAUAAAAUCGGUCCUCAGGGAACAAGCAGUUGCAGUUGAGAUCUUCAUCAAAGAAGUCGGGGCGAGAUUAAGUGAUUGAAACGCUCAAGGCCACAAAACCAAGCAUUGUUUCAAAUUGACAAAUUGUUCUUUGUUUUGAAAAAAAAAAAUAGGAAACAUGUGCAAUCCAAAAGCAACCUUGCAAGAAGCAGGUGCGACCAAAAAGAAACUUCGCAAGGGCUAGAAACAGCUUUGCAGCAACAACCCAAAAAGGGAAGUCUCUUCCAAAAAUCUUUCCCGCAUUUACUCAUUCUCUAAAAUAAAAAAAAUGACAAUGAAAUGAAAAGAAAGAAAAGAAGAAAAAUUCAAAAUCAUGGUAGUAUAGGGUCUCCAAUCCCUAGCUGCGUCUUUUCCAGCAUAGGGUCUCACUCCCUAGUUGAUGCCGGCAUAACCCGAUGACUUUUCCAAUAUAGGGUCCCACUACCUAGUUGAUAACGACAUAACUUGGUGAUUUUUACAACAUAGGUUCCCACUCCCUAGUUGAUGCCGGCAUAACCCGAUGACUUUUUCCCACAUAGGUUCCCACUCCCUAGUUGAUGCCGGCAUAACCCGAUGACUUUUCCNNNNNNNNNNNNNNNNNNNNNNNNNCUUGAUGCCCGCAUAACCUGAUGCCAACAUAGGGUCACCACUCCCUAGUUGAUGCCAACAUAGGGUCUCCAUUCCCUAGUGUUGAUACCCAAUUUUCCCUAUAUAUUUUUAAUCUGCAUAAAUACCUUCAAAAUAACAUGUAUAUAUGUAUAUAUAAGCAUGCACAAGGUUUUUAUAAUUUUUCCCAUAAUUUUAAGGAUUUAAAUUGAUUUAUUUCCUUCCCUUUUAUUCAUAAAAUCUCCAAUAAUUAUCCCUCAAAUUAUUUUUAUGGUGAUUUAGUCAUUUAAUUCUAUAUUUAUGCCAAAAUAGGGUUAAAAUAUUUUUUAUGCAUUUAAUAAUUGCAUUUUGUAUUUUUAAAGCUAAAUUGCGUAUAAUUGCUAUGUUAGCCCCAUUAAUGUACAAUUACAUUUAUAUGCAUAAAAUUGAUCUCCUAUAUUUUUAAAAUGUUAAAUAUCUAUUUUAAAUCAUUUUAGUACAUGAAAUUAUUUCUUAGAAAUUAUUUAUCAUUUAUUAUAAAUUAUUUAAGGAAAAUUGGCUAUUUAAAAUAUAGCCAGAUUUGCAUUUCAAUUGUAGCCCAAUUUAAACCCAACCCCAGCCCAAUUUCAGAUUAAAAACACCUGGCCCAAGCCCUAAACCCGCCUACCCAACCAAAUGCCAUUUUAAAUCUUGGCCGUUGAUCUAAAAGAUCAACGACCCUCGUCUGUUCUUACCAUUUUUAAUUCCAACGACCCCUAACCCUAGCUCAUUGUUCAGAUACCGCCGCUUCUGUAUUCUAUCAUCUCCUUUCCUCUCUCAACCACUCAACCUAACCCUAGCUCCUUCAACCGCCGACCUUCUUCUCCGGUCUUCUUCGGUGAUCUUCCUUAAACUCCUAAGCCUCCAUUGGCUCCUCUAAUGAUAUGCUUGCCUUCUAUAAGGUCUUCAAGGGCCCUGGGCCACACCGACUUGCAUCUAGGGUUUGCUAUUUGUCUGUUCUUGGCUACUUCAGUGUGAUUUCAAGCAAAAUCAUGUUGUGCUUGUUACGAUCCUUGGGAUUCUAGACCAGCUCUUUCAUCUCUAUUUGGCUACUUUAGUAUUUUACACUGUUGUUGGGACUCUUUUAAAAGAAUCAUCGAUUUCAGUUUAAAACUUUGUUUAAACUGAUUCCUUAUGUUUAAACUUCCAUCUCUUGCAUAUUCCGACUGAUUCUAUGAUUUUACUGUCUUUUCAACUCGCCUAUGUUGAAAGCCCUAAUUUUCUGGACUUCUUCGUUUGGUUCUGUGUAUUAGCAUGACUGCUCGUUUCUUGUUUGAGUUUCUAUGACUAUCUUGCUUCGAAUAUGUUCUUACUAAGUUCUUAGGCUAAUUUAUAUCACCUCUAUGGGCUUAUGUUCAUUUUGAUUGUUCGGACUUGCCUCUUUCUAUCGAUACUGUUUAACCUGCAUGCUUGCUAGGUCUGGUUAUUCUUAUCUUCUCUAUUUAUAUGAUGAAUACAGAAUCAUGACUCCCUCUUUGAUUGAUUCUGGAUUCCCUAUUUUUUGGAUUUGAUUGAAAUACCUUCCUUUAAACCCUCAAUUUCUACCUCUUCUAUUCAAAUUAACUGAUUCGCCUACCUUGUCUGUUGUGGUACUUUAUUCUUACUGGCUAUUUCCUUAAUUAAAGUGUUCUAAACUUAGCCCUAAUUGUUUACCUUAUACUUACUGAAUUUGAAUCUUUUCUUAUUAGUCAUACACUGAUUUUUUUCCUUAUAUGCUACUUGUUCCUACCGUUUGAAUUGAUUCCCUUAACUCUAGGGAGUACUUGUCCUGAUUUUGCUCUAAUUGGUUUUGAGUUCCAUAAUCGUUAUGCUACGAUGAUUCUUGCCUUAUUUUACCUAAUUUUCAAACUACUAUAUAUACACACUCUCUCACUAACACAAACACACGAACACUUUGGUUCAAAAGCUCUCUCUUUCUCACACUUAAACUUUCCGCUCUCUCUCUCUCUCUCUCUCUCUCUCACUCUCUCUCACUCUCUCUCUCUCUCUCUCUUGUGCUACUUGUUACUAUUUUGAGUUAGCCGGCUGCAAGCCAAUGAUAAAUAUUGCGCUCUCCUACUCUUUCACUCUUGCUUACUGUCUUCUUUACUGGUAUGUUCUAAUUUCAAUUCAAGGUCCAAAAACAAUAUGGUUCUUUUAUUGCUUUAGUUCAUCCUCUUUCUAGUUUGCUUUUACUUAUGGUUUUGCUGUGAAACCUACAGUUAAUUAUGACAACUCGGCCAGUUGUCUCAUGUGUUACCGCUUUGCUUUUCCCAUUUCUACCUCUUUAUGCUUUUUUUAUCCAUAUUAUGUGAUAUCAGGCUGGUCAGAUCGAAUCCGGAAUAAUUUUGGUAAGGUUUGAGACACUUAGUCUCUUUGGAAUCAGUUUAGGUUGGAAAAGUCAACCGGAUGUUGAAUUAUGUAUUAGAGGGCUCGGAUGUGAGUUUCGAUGGUUUGGUUAGCUUUGGGAGGUGAUUUAUGACUUAGCAGCGUUAUCGGAAUGAGUUUUGGAGGUUCGAAGUAGAUUUAGGCUUGAAUUGGCAAAGUUGAUAUUUUGAUGAUUUCCGGUUGAUAGGUGAGAUUUUGGUAUAAGGGUCGGAAUAGAAUUCUGAGAGUUGUAGUAGUUCCUUUGUGUCAUUUGGGAUGUGUAUGCAAAAUAUCAAUUCAUUCGGACGAGGUUUGGUUGGGUUUUGAUCAAAAGCGUAAUUUUGAAGAUAUUAGAAUUCUUAGGCUUGAAUUCGAUGUGAUUCGGUGUUUUGAUGUUGUUUUGAUUGUUCCGAAGGUUGGAACAAGUUUGAAUGAGGUUUUAGGAUAUGUUGGUGCCUUUGGUUGAGGUCCCGGGGGCCUUGGGUGAGUUUCGGAUGGUCAAUCGGACCAUUUCAUGCCUUGGAGAAGUUGCGAAAUUGCAAGUUCAGCUGUUGCAAAGAUUCCUUCUCUGUGAUCGCGUAGGGCUUCUUGCGAUGGCAUAGAAGCUUUUGAGGGGGAAGUCCAUUUGUUCUUCAUGUUCGCGAAGGUUGAUCUGCGAUCGUAUAGAAUGGUGAAGUUGUUGAUCGCGAACGCGUAGUGAAGGUCGCAUUCACGUAGAGUUAAGUGGACCUGGGGUCUUGACUUGAAUUUGUUCAUUACGAACGCGGUAGGAAGUCCGCGAUCGCGUAGAGUUAGUUGCCUGGGCAUCACGUUUGCAGGGUGUCUUAUGCGUUCACAUAGAGAAGUUUUUGGGUGCUGAGAAUUUGUGUUUCGCGAUCGCGAAGGAUUUCCCGCGAUCGCAAUGAAGGAAAAUAGGCCUAGGCAGAAGGUUUAAAAGGUCGUCUUGUCCGUGAAUGUGAGGUUUAUUUCCCCCAUUAUUGGUUGUUUUGGAGCUUUUUGAAGGAGCUUAAAGAGGGAUUUAAGGGGAAUUACUUGGAGGUAAGAUUCUUGGACUUAAAACUCGAUUCUAACGUGAAUUCCACCUAAAUAAUCAUGGAAAUUAAGCCAAAAAUUGAAGAACUAGGGCUUGAAAUUGGGGACCUAAAAUUUGGGAUUUAAAGGGUCAUUUUUGGAUGGAUUUUGAUGUUUUUGAUAUGUAUGAACUCGUGGGCAGAUAAGCAAUCCAUUGAUGUGAAUUUUUUUUGAAUUCCGAGCUGUGUGCCCAGGGGUCGGGUUUUGGUAAUUUCGGGAUUUGUGCUAUUUAUUGAUUGUUUUCGAUUGGGCUUCGUUCCCUUAGCCUAUUUUGACUUCCUUGUUCUGAUUUUGGAUAGAUUCGAUGUGAAAGGAGGCCGAUUCGAGGGGCAAAGGCAUCGCGAGUUAGAGAUUUGACCUGUUCGAGGUGAGUAAUGAUUGUAAAUGAUGUUCUGAGGGUUUGAAACCCCAGAUUACACAUCAUAGUGCUAUAUUAAGGUGAGGCACAUGCUUGAUGACGAGCGUGGGGUCGUGCACUCUUGAGGAUUGUGACUUGAUCCAUCCUGAUUGAUAAUUCUACUGCGUAUUUGACUGAAAUCUAUUUGUUGUCAUUAUUAUUUGGGUUGAAUGCCGUAUUUGGGCCUUGUGCCAACUAUUUGAACCCUUCGCGGAAUUUUAUUGGUAUUUCCUCACUGAUUUGACUUUAUACUUGAACUCAGUCAUGUUAUUUUCCACUAUUUUCAUACUCAGUCAUGUUUACUCAGUUUUAAUACAUAAAUGAUAUUUUAAAUGAUGUUUGGGCUGAGAAACACUGUUUUACUAUUGCCCAAGUGGCUUGUGAGGAUUUUGACUGAGUGAGGCCGAGGGCCUAUGUUGUGAGGAAACAUUUGAUACUGAUUAUGAGGCCGAGGGCCUGAGAUAUGUACGCCACGAGGUGGCUUGAUUGAUAUGAGGCCGAGGGCCUAGUGAUGACGCCACGAGGUGGCUUGCUAUUGCGCUUGGGACAGGGGCCCCUCUAGGAGUCUAUACACCCCCAGUGAGCGCUGGUACCCAUUGUGAUGUGAGAUUGAGCCCGAUGGGCUGGUAUUGUUCUAUGUGAUUGCCCGAGGGGCUGGUACUGUUCUGGUAUGUUGCUCGAGGGGCAGAUUUUUGAUACUGUGCCCGAGGGGCGAGCCUUUAUGUGUUUACUUUUCAUAAUUGACUGUCAAUCACCUGCUUAAUUAUUGAAAAAGGCUUUCUCAUGAAACUACAUUGGAGUUAAAGGAUUUUAAGUAUCUUUCACUGAUUCACUAAUUUUAAAUGGUUUUACUUCCUCAUUAUAGAAUGUUAUGUGCCGUACGUGAUUACUUGCUUUUAGUCUUUAUUUACCUUUGUUACUCACUGAGUUGGAGUACUGACAUUACUCCCUGCACCCCUGUGUGCAGAUUCAGGCGUUGUGGAUCCUGCAAGUGUAAGUUGAGAGCUCCUAGCACAUAUUAGAGACCACGAGGUAGUUGUUUGAUGUCCGUAGUCAUGUGUUUCUCCCUCUUUAUCAUUUCUAUCUUGUAUCAGACAUUUGUAAUAGUUAUAGACUUUUCAGACUUGUAUUAUGUUUUAUAGAUGCUCUUGACUAGUGACACCCUGGUAUCGAGCUGUGUUGGGUUGUUCUUCCGCGUAUUUAUGAUAUUAUCUGCUACUUUGGAUUAUUUUAUCAUGUUUCGACUAUUUCUAAAUGCUUAAUUGUUAAUAAAAUUGGAAAAUCGGAAGUGUCGGUUGGCCUUGUCUUCACGAGAGGUGCCAUCACGAUCGGGUCCGGGUUUAGGUCGUGACAAGUUGGUAUCAGAGCCUAGGUUACAUAUGUCUCAUGAGGCAUGAGCAGGUUUAGUAGUGUCUCAGGAUCGGUACUAAGACGUUUGUAUUUAUCCUUGAGAGGCUGCAGAGCCUUUAGGAAAAACUUCAUAUUCUUGAAAUUCUUGUAGUAUAAAUUUGUUGAUCCGAGUACUAAACUUCUAUUGUUCUAUUCUCUCAUAUAUGGUGAGAACACGUGCCACCGAGCAGGAUGGACAACCACCAGUACCACCAACUGUGGCCACCAGAGGCCGAGUGUUACACCCCAUGUUUUAGUAUGUAAGAGUACGUCAUAAGUCAAUUAAUGUAAGUUCAGAAAUGGAAUCAUCUUUCAAAAGUAUACAAAGUUAGUUCAUCAUGUUAACGUGGAUGUUACAAAUAUUUAAGAUCAUUGAUACCAUGUAGCAAGAGAGUUUGAAGGCUUAGAAGCUAAACAAAUUGAAUAAAAUAAGUUUCGUCGAAAGUCGACAAGUUGGAAUGUUUUACCAUGUACUUUUGGGGUGAAACUAGGGUUAUUAACACUAUAAGGAGAUUAUAAUAUGAGUUAUUUUAGUUGUAUGAUAGUUGGUGUUAUGGUUUGAAGUCAAGCGAGUUAUGGAACAAAAGUUGGAAAAGGUCAUCACAAGUUCCAUUAAUAAAUGUGCUGAAAAUUAGGUCAAAUGUAACUGAGCUUUUCUUCCAAUAUACUUCGAAUUAGGGGAUGAUAUACCUACAAAAUUAAAGAUCUAUGAGUCUAGUUUCUAAAUCAUUAAACCGUUCAUCAAUAUGAUAUCGGAGUAUUGAGAUAUUCGCAUUUUCGCGAGACUGCAGAGAUUAGUAGGUGACAAGUAAGUGCAUCACCUACUUGCCAAAAUGAGAGGACAAAAUUAUAAGCUCCAAAGUCGGACAAAAAGGGACUUUUAAGGGAUUAUCAACUCAGUUGUUUCACCUAUAUUUCAGACCAUGAAAACCAAAUUGAACCCCUGCAACUUCUCCCCAAAAAUCCCACACAAACCCUAGGGUAUUCCGGGUGUUACGAUGCGAUUCUAGUGCUGAAAAGUCCGGACAGCUUGCUAGUUUCUCUUUCUCCUUCUUGUAGCCAUGUUGAGGAACUUAUUUUUGAUGAAAAAGGACCAGGUUUCGUGGGUUAUACUCAGUACAAGGUAAGUUUAUGCUUCUCCUUCCAUUAUCUAUGCGUUUGCGAGUUGUAACUUGAUCGUAAAGAAUAGACCUAGCUAGUUUCGAAAGAAUGGUAUGUUGUUUGUUCUUGUGUAAUGGUUGGCUGAUUUUGAACUUAUUUAUAAGUUGAAUUCAUGUCUUGUUUAUUGGAUAAUAGGUACAAUGACAUACUUUUGGUUGUAUUUCACAAUUUGAAAGAAAAGACAAGUUGAAACGUGUUUAAGUAAACUGAAAAAUUAUUUUUGAGUUGAUGAACUUGUGGGACUAUUUUUGGGCUGUUUCGUAUUGGUAUUGGGUUUUAUAUUUUACUACUAUUAUUAUGGAGUUGAGAGGAGUAAGGGUGUGGAGAAACACCACAUAAUGACAAGGUUGUUGUUGGUCAUUCGUAGAAACAUUUUUGAAUUGUUUGACACUAUUAUGGUUGUCGUGUUGUGUAUGAAGUGAUAGGGGUAUGUUGGUAUGUUUGUGAUUGUUUUGACUAGUGUUAAGUCAUAUAUAUAGGGGAGGUGCUGUCCAUUUCAUUGUAAAAUAGUUGUGGUCGAUACAUAAUAGUUACGACGCUUAAACGAUAACGAGAGUGUCAUUUCUCUUAUUGUAGACUAAGGAGCCGUAAAAUUGCAUAGCUUGAGGUUGGGAAGAAUAUACAGGGCAUGUUAAGGCACUUUCUUCUUUCUUUUGGCAUGAUCUAAAAUGAAAUGAACAUAAACGAUAUGAUAUUUCAUAAUGACUCUACUCCUAGCAACUAAGGUUGUCCAUGUUGUUCUUUCCGUACAAAGUUAUUCUAAGAAAGUAUGUAUGAUCCUUGAGUCCUAGUGAAGUUCAUAUUGAUGGUAUGAUGUCCAUAAUGCUAAUCGAAGGUGCAAAUACCUUACAUCACUCCGAAAGGUUUAGAACGUGAUUCCAUGAGUCGAGCAUGCAUUAUAUAUAAGUAUCUAUUUUACUCUACCGAGCCGCACUAUAGUCGGCCGGGUACAACACCUAUUGUGGAACCACUGAUGAGUUGGGUUUACCGAGAUCCACGUGGCCGAGUACGAUUCUACCGAGCCUUAUGAUGGCCGAGUACGUUUUUACCGAGUCCUCUUUGAGGCCAGGUAUGAUAUGAUGAUGAUGAUUCCCAAAGAGGGGUAUGUUAUUUAAAAGUUUGUGUAUAUAUAUAUAUAUUAUGCAUUUCAUGUCAGUAGACCCCAGAGGCACUCAGAUGUUACAGGUUGUAUCUCCUCUAUCUCUCUUUACAUUACAGUUCUUAUAUAUGUUUUCCUGCCUUACAUACUCGGUAUUUUAUUGUCCCUUCUUUCUAGGGACGCUGUGUUUUAUGCCUGCAUGUCCCGAUUGAUAGGUUGACAGUCCUUCAAACAGGCUAUUAGCUCAGCGGAAGCUAUUGGUACACUCCACUUGCUCCGGAGUUGCCUAUUUGGUUAGUAUGCUUUGGAUAUGUAUUGAUUGGUAUGGCGGGGCCCUGUCCCGACCUUUAUGAUAUUAGGUACUCUUAGAGGCUUAUAGACGUAUGUCAAGUGUACGUAUACUUUUAUGGCCUUGUCGGCCUAUAUUUUGAGUUUACAAAUGGUCAGGUCGGCCUUAUAGGCCCGUAUGUCACAUAAAUAAGUUUGUAUAUCAUGUUGGGUCAUCAUAUAUUGAGUAUUCCCUUAUGUUUUAUUCUUGUUAUCUCAUGAAGAGUUUUCUGGCUCAUUUACCCAUGAUAGUAUGAUAAGAAAGAUAUGUUACGUUGGUACUCGGUUGAGUAAGAUACUGGGUGCUCAUCGCGGCCCAUUCAGUUUGGGUCGUGACAGAAGUGGUAUCAAAGCAGUUCCGUCCUAAGGAGUCUACAAGCCGUGUCUUGUAGAGUCUUGUUUAUGGGUUUGUCGUGAACCAUAUUUAUAAGCAGGAGGCUGCAGGGCAUUUAGGACUGUCACUCUUUAUUCUUACUCUAGAUCAUGUGGUAGAGCUCAAUUGUAAGAAUUCAAACUUCUAAAUUCUAUUUUAUUUGUAACACAAUGAUACCUCAUCCAAACAGAUAGUUGGUAAGAGAUUAAAUGUUGUUGUGGAAGAGUUGAGUCAAUGGAACUCGAUUUUGCAUCAUGCUUAUGAUGAGUAAAUGUAAGGUGUUCAACAGAUCAUCUAUGUACUAAGAUGUGUGAGCUUCUUGAUAAGGAGCCCCAAUGAAUGAAUAUCUAUCCACCCAUAUGGUAAAGAGAGACGAGAGAAUCAGGAGGUGGAUACAAGUUUCAAUAAGUAAAAGAAGCAACUUGAAAAAGGUUACGAGGCACCAGUUAGUGAAGGUUUUGAGUUUUUACAAUUUAGGUAGAGAAAUAUAUGUAUUCUGAGUUACAUUCAAUAGUAACAAAGGUAUGUACAAUUGGCCACACCCAUCUCUGUAUGCCCUAUGGAAGUUGACAGAUAUAGUUUAAGAGAAGAAAGAGAUAUCAAGAUCCAAUUGUGGCUAGAUUAACCCAAAAUGGUAGAUGGAUUAUUAUAAUUAGCUAACAUUUCCGAAGGAUAUUGCAAAUGUGGUAAUAGUUCUCGUUGUAAGACACCCCGGUGGUGCAAGCUAGAAUAGUACAUUUACAUAUGAAUACUAGAAUGACUGGAAAAAUUUAGAAGAAUGGCACUGGAAUCCUAGAAGGGAUAAAUAUUUACCUUUGUAUGGCUCUCGUUCCUAGUAAAGAGAGAAUGCUAGGUGACCUAAAGAGCCAGUGAGAUGAAGCAAUGGGAGCUAAAAGUGAAAGAAUAAUUUGUUGAAGUUAUCAGAAUAAAGUGAUAGACNNNNNNNNNNNNNNNNNNNNNNNNNUACAACACGAUGACAGAGUUUAUAGUCAAGUAAAGGAAGAUACAAGAGGUGACAUGACUUAAGGCAAUAAAAGAGUAUAAGACAUAAAGUCAUAUUCCCAUUUCGAGAAAUGAUUUGGUGACUCCAACGUGAUUACCAUAAGGAAAGGUUAGACCCCAGAGUGAUAGAAAUCAGUAUGGGCUGGUAAACAAGAUAAACCGAAUAUGAAUAAGGGACCGAAUGAGUUUAUAAUAUUCGUCAUCGUGAGAAUUUCAAAGAUAGCAUUGAAACAAUAAUAGAAUGGACAACAAAAGAAUAACCUUUAAGGUUUAUUCAGGAAGACGCUUCCCUAAAGCAAGCACAAUGAGCAGAGUUAAGCUUAAGGGACUAAGUGUACCAAUUACACUAAAUGUCACCCAUGUGCGUAAGAAAUUCAACUAUCCCCGGUAUAGAAAGGUUUCCUCAAGGUGAGUAAAAUGUCAGUGAAGAUGUGAAAAAAAAAUAACAAAGAUAAAGAGGUAACUAUGGGAUAUUAAAGGAAGCAUGCGGUGAAAGGUGAAAUGAAUGAGAAUGCAUCUGUUCAGAUCCUACAGAUAUGAUAUGACUCCAAAACCUUAUGCAAGUAUGAUGCCAGGAAGAAGCAAUAAGGUUUCAUCACUCGACGAUAUUGAUAAAUAAGUGCAAAAUAAACACUUGAUACACAAGGAGCCAGUACGAUAGGUAACUUAAGACAAAGUAAAUAACCAAAGAGAGAUUACGCGGAAUAUAGAUAUAAGAAUGGACCAACGAGUAGUUGUAGUUGAUUUAGGAAGAGCCAUGUUAUGGUUAGACAAGAGGUUAUAAGCAAAUCAGCAGAUCAUGCAAGAUAAACGUAGUGAAUCAUAAUAUAGUGAAUUCAAUCUCGCAGAUAUGAUGUCAUAACCCUUGAGAAAUGCUCAGAUAGGAGUUGGGGUAUUUAAAGGUAUUGUAUAAGUGUUACAGGAAUAAUCGAGAGUGUCAUUAAGGAGACAAUCAAAAUCUGAGUUUAGAAGUAACCCUACAAGCAUAAGGGCACGGAGGUAUGUAACUAAGGAUGUUUGUAGGCGAGUAAGAAUAUCGGAAAUUCCUUCAUGUAUACAGUAUAACAAGAUCACAACUUUACAAGAUCCAUAAGGUCUCCUAAGUAUUACCACGAAAGACUAGCUCAGGAAAUAAGGAAGAGGGCUUCAACCUAAGCAUAUUAACUUGAAGAAGAAUUGGUCUGGUAACAAUAGUCUCACUACAAUAUUAGAAGUACUCUGUAAGAAAGUGGCGUCUAUAGUAGCUAAUGAAUGGAAAAAAAAUCAAAGGUGGUGUUUGAGAUCAUAUAAGGUACAGGAAAUUAUAGUAUUUGUGGGAAAUAAGACAAGCCACAACAAGUGGCAGAACAAUCAGGAAAAGUAAUUGCUUACAUUUAAAGACAACUGAGAAGGCACAAAAAGGAAAUCUGUGGUGCUAGCAAGUUAAAGAAAGGAUGUGAGUAGUACAAAUAGAUAAGUGUAGGUCGCAAGCUAAAGUAUGACAGAGUGACAAGACUUUAGGUAUAUGGGAGUAAGGAUAAGAAAAGGUGAGUUAGGAGCUGACAAGAAUAGGUAAGACCUCGGUAUUAAGCCCAUCAAACAAGAGAGCUGAUGGUUUAUGUAUGUUAUAAAAACCUCAAUAUAGCUUUAAUUAACACGGAGGAGUCUAAGACUAGGAGCAUUUAUAAGAGAUGGAAUGCUGCCCUGGUCGUAAUGUAAGGGCGUAAUUCUGGUAAAUUAUAAAAGGAUGAUAUUUAGGCCUAAUGAUUCAAACAGAAGAGAUUUCAUGGAUGGAACAGGAUUAGUAUACCCCUCUAAGACGAAUCACAUUGGAAUGCUAUGAAAUACGGUUAUUGAAGAAUAGUACCGUCCCUAGGUGGAUUGGGAAAAUCACUUCAGAUGUUCCCCGAUGAGACGUGAUCCCCAGUGACAAUGAAUUACGUAAGAGGUUUCAAGUUAUCAGUGGUAGAUUAUCGAUCAACAUUAAGGUGAAUCACCAAUGGAUGGAUAAAAGUUACAAUGUAUGAGAUGAGAUUAGACCGUCACUAUUAUGAUGAACAGUAAUGAGGAAGCAUUAAAGGACUUUGAUGUAUACAUAUAGGACAAGCAGUGAAAGAGUAACCCGUAGCUGGGUGGCAGACCUCGGUAAUAAUAAACUGAAGUAAGCGUUAGGAUAUAGUAUGAACUACCUAGAUGUAGUAAAGCCAUAAGCAUAGAUAACCGAGGCUAUGAAGCAAGGUAUAGCAAUAGUCGUAAGUUCGACAAAGUACUAAGCGAAGAACUUUAGUACACCUAUAGAUGCCUAGAGGGACAUCUUGUCAUAGUUCUGCAUAUGUUCACAAAGUGAGGCCUAGAGAUUGGCUAAAAGCUGGAGGAAAAAGGAGAAAAGAGUCGCAUAGGCACCCAUGCAAGUAUAUGGUUGUACAUGAUGCAUGAAAGAAGGUAACAACAGUUACGAGAUUGGAAGAAUUCCGACCACAGGUCGUGGUAUGAGAAAGAGGCCUAAAAGGGGGAAUACCCUAGCCCUUAGAUUUAUUUACAGAACAGUUUCAUAGAUGUCAAGUACAAUAUUAAAAUAUUCAUAAGUGCUACAGGUUAUGAUACUGAUAAGUGCAUUAGUCAACAUUCGAGGAUGAAUGUUUCAAAGGGGGAAUGAUGUUACACCCCAUGUUUUCGUACGUAAGAGUACGCCAUAAGUCAAUUAAUGUAAGUUCAAAAAUGGAAUCAUCUUUCAAAAGUAUAUAAAGUUAGUUCAUCAUGUUAACGUGGAGGUUACAAAUAUUUAAGAUCAUUGAUACCAAGUAGAAAGAGGGUUUGAAGGAUUAGAAGCUAAACAAAUUGAAGAAAAUAAGUUUCGUCGAAAGUCGACAAGUUGGAAUGUAUUACCAUGUACUUUUGGGGUGAAGCUAGGGUUAUUAACAUUAUAACGAGAUUAUAAUAUGAGUUAUUUUAGUUGUAUGNNNNNNNNNNNNNNNNNNNNNNCUAGUUACUAAAUAAUUAAACCGUUCAUCAAUACAAUAUCGGAGUAUAGAGAUAUUUGCAUUUUCGAGAGACUGCGCAGAUUGGUAGGUGACAAGUAGGUGCAUCACCUACUUGCCAAAAUGAGAGGACAAAAUUAAAAGCCCCGAAGUCGGCCAAGAGGGGACUUUUAAGGGAUUAUCAACUCAAUUAUAUCACCUAUCUUUCAGACCAAGAAAACCAAAUUGAACCCCUGCAACUCCUCCCCAAAAAUCCCACACAAACCCUAGGGUAUUCCGGGUGUUACGACGCAAUUUUGGUGCUGAAAAGUCUGGACAGCUUGCUAGUUUCUCUUCCUCCUUCUUGUAGCUAUGUUGAGGAAAUUAUUUUUGAUAAAACAGGACCAGGUUUCGUGGGUUAUACUAAGUACAAGGUAAGUUUAUGCUUCUCCUUCCAUUAUCUAUGUGUUUGCGAGUUGUAACUCGAUCGUAAAGAAUAUACCUAGCUAGUUUCGAAAGAACGGUAUGUUGUUUGUUCUUGUGUAAUGGUUCACUGGUUGUGAACUUCUUUCUAAUUUGAAUUCAUGACUGGUUUAUUGGAAAAUAGGUAUAAUGAUGUACUUUUGGUUGUAUUUCUCAAUUUGAAAGAAAAGACAAGUCGAAACGUGUUUAAGUCGAAAUGAUGUCCUUAGUCAAAUUAUUUUUGAGUUGAUGAACUUGUGGGGCUAUUUGUGGGCUGUUUCGUGUUGGUAUUGGGUUGUACUUGUUACUGCCAUUUUUAUGGAGUUGAGAGGAGGAAGGGUGUGCAGAAAUACUACAUAAUGGCAAGGUUGUUGUUGGUCAUUCGUCGUAACAUUUUCGGAUUGUUUGACACUAUUAUGGUUGUCGUGUUGUGUAUGAAGUGAUAGGGGUAUGUUGUGAUGUUUGUGAUUGAUUUGACUAGUGUGAAUUCAUAUAUAUAUAUGGGAGGUUCUGUCCGUUUCAUUGUAAAAUAGGUUGUGUUCAAUACAUAAUAGUUACAACGCUUAAACGAUAACGAGAGUGUCAUUUCUCUUAUUGUAGACUAAGGAGCCGUGAAAUUGCAUAGCUUGAGGUUAGGAAGAAUACACAAGGUAUGUUAAGGCACUUUCUUCUUUAUUUUGGUAUGAUCUAAAAUGAAAUGAACAUAAACAAUACACUAUUUCAUAGUUACUCUACUCCUGGCAACUAAGGUUGUCCAUGUUGUUCUUUUCAUACAAAGUUAUUCUAAGAAUGCCUUAGAAAAGGUAAAGGUGAUUCACGAGAGGCUUCGUACAACGCAGUCGAGACAAAAGAGUUAUGCUGAUAGGAAGGUUCGAUAUAUGUCCUACAUGGUUGGUGAGAAGGUUCUGUUGAAGGUUUCACCCAUGAAAGGUGUUAUGAGAUUUGGGAAGAAAGGGAAAUUGAGUCUGCGGUUCAUUGGGCCUUUUGAGGUGCUUCUAAGGAUUGGGGAGGUGGCUUCUGAGCUUGCUUUGCCACCAGCUUGUCGAGUGUGCAUCCGGUAUUUCAUGUUUCUAUGCUCUGGAGGUAUAUUGGGGAUCCGUAUCAUGUUUUGGGUUUCAGCACGGUUCAGUUGGAUGAUGAUUUGACUUAUGAUGUGGAGCCAGUAGCUAUUUUGGGUCGACAGGAUCGAAAGUUGACGUCCAAGGAUAUAGCUCCAGUGAAAGUGUAGUGGACUACUUGGGAGACCGAGCGGGAGAUGCAGAGUAGAUAUCCUCACCUGUUUGAGUGGGAGAAUAUGACAACCCGACCAGUCGUCUAAAGAGUUACUGCUCCGUUUUCCCCAUUUCUGCUUCUUUAUGCUUUGUUUAUCCGUAUUAUGUGAUAUCGUGUUGGUCGGAUCAAAUCCAGAAUAAUUUUGGUAAGGUUUGAGACAUUUAAUCUCUUUGGAAUGAGUUUAGGUUGGAAAAGUUAACGGGAUGUUGACUUAUAUGUUAGAGGGCUCAGAUGUGAUUUCCGAUGGUUUGGUUAGCUUUGGGAAGUGAUUUGUGACUUAGGAGCGUGAUCGGAAUGAGUUUUGGAGGUUCAGAGUAGAUUUAGGCUUGAAUUGGCGAAGUUGAUAUUUUGGCGAUUUCCGGUUGAUAGGCGAGAUUUUAUAUAGGGGUCAGAAUAGAAUUCCAAGAGUUGCAGUAGUUCCGUUCGGUCAUUUGGGAUGUGUGUGCAAAAUUUCAGGUCAUUCGGACGAGAUUUGGUUGGGUUUUUGAUCAAAAGGGUAAUUUUGAAGAUUUUGGAAUUCUUAGGCUUGAAUCCGAUGUGAUUCGGUGUUUUGAUGUUGUUUUGAUCGUUUCGAAGGUUGGGACAAGUUUGAAUUAGGUUUUUGGAUAUGUUGGUGUCUUUGGUUGAGGUCUUGGGGGCCUCGGGUGAGUUUCGAAUGGUCAAUCGGGCCAUUUCAUGCCUUGGAGAAGUUUCAGAAUUGCAGGUUCAGCUGUUACAGAGAUUCCUUUUCUACGAUUGCGUAGGGCUUCCUGCGAUCGCAUAGAAGCUUUUGAGGGGACACUCAAUUUGUUCUUUGCAUUCGCGAAGGUUGAGCUGCGAUAGAAUAGAAUGGUGAAGUUGUUGAUCGCGAACGCGUAGUGAAGGUCGUGUUCGCAUAGAGUUAAGUGGACCUGGGGUCUUGACUUGAAUUUGUUCAUUGCGAACGCGGUAGGAAGUACGCGAUCACGUAGAGUUAGUUGCCUGGGCAUCGCAUUUGCAGGGUGUCUUAUUUGUUCGCAUAGAGUAAUUUUUGGGAGCUGAGAAUUUGUGCUUUGCGAUCGCGAAGGAUUUCCCGCGAUCGCAAUGAAGGAAAAUAGACUUGGGCAGAAGGUUUAAAAGGUCGCCGUGUCCGCGAAUGUGGGGUCUAUUUCCCCAAUUUUUGGUCAUUUUGGAGCUUUUUGAAGGAGAUUAAAGAGUGAUUCAAGGGGAAUCACUUGGAGGUAAGACUUUUGGACUUAAAACUCGAUUCUAAAGUGAAUUCCACCUAAAUAAUCCUGGAAAUUAAGCUAAAAAUUGAAGAACUAGGGCUUGAAAUUGGAGACCUAAAAUUUGGGAUUUGAAGGGUCAUUUGUGGAUGGAUUUUGAUGUUUUUGAUAUGUAUGAACUCGUGGGGAGAUAAGGAAUCCAUUGAAGUGAAAUUUUUUGAAUUCCAAGUCGUGGGCCCGGCGAGCGGGUUUUGGUAAUUUCGGGAUUUGUGUCAUUUAUUGAUUGUUUUCGCUUGGGCUUCGCUCCCUUAGCCUAUUUUGACUUCCUCAUUCUGAUUUUGGAUAGAUUCAAUGCGAGUGGAGGCCGAUUCGAGGGGCAAAGGCGUCGCGAGUUAGAGAUUUGACCGGUUUAAGGUGAGUAAUGUUUGUAAAUGAUGUUCUGAGGGUUUGAAACCCCGGAUUGCACAUCGUAGUGCUAUAUUGAGGUGAGGCAUAAGCUUGAUGACGAGCGUGGGGUCGUGCCAUCUUGGGUAUUGUGACUUGGUCGGUCCCGACUGAUGAUUUUACCGCGUAUUUGACUGAAAUCUUUUUGUUAUCAUCAUUAUUUGGUCUGAAUGCAAUAUUUGGGCCUUGUGCCAACUAUUUGAACCCUCCGGGAAUUUUUACUGGUAUUUCUCACUGAUUUGACUUUAUACUUGAACUCAGUAAUGUUACUUUCCUCUUUUUUCGUACUCAGCCAUGUUUACUCAGUUUUAAUACUUAAAUGGUAUUUUUAAAUGAUGUUUGGGCUGAGAAACACUGUUUUACUAUUGCCCGAGAGGUUUGUGAGGAUUUUGACUGAGUUAGGCCGAGGGCCUACGUUGUGAGGAAAUAUUUGAUGCUGAUUAUGAGGCUGAGGGCCUGAGAUAUGUACGCCACGAGGUGGCUUGAUUGAUAUUAGGCCGAGGGCCUAGUGAUGAUGCCACAAGGUGGCUUGAUAUUGCGCUUGGGCAGUAUGGGGCCCCUCCAGGAGUUUGUACACCCCUAGUGAGCGCGGGUACCUAUUAUGAUUUGAGAUUGAGCCCGAGGGGCUGUUAUUGUUCUAUAUGAUUGCCUGAGGGGCUGGUACUAUUCUGAGAUGUUGCGCGAGGGGCAGAUUUGUUGAUAUUGUGCCCGAGGGGUGAGCCUUAUGUUUUUACUUUUCAUAAUUGACUAUCAAUCACCUGCUUAAUUAUUGAAAAAUUCUUUUGGAGUUAAAGGAUUUUACCUAUCUUUCACUGAUUCACUGAUUUUAAAUGGUUUUACUGCCUCAUUAUAGAAUGCUAUGUGGCUUACGUGAUUUCUUGCUUUCAGUAUUUAUUUACCUUUGUUACUCACUGAGUUGGAGUACUCACAUUACUCCAUGCACCCCUGUGUGCAGAUUCUAGCGUUGUGGAUCCUGCCAGUACGAGUUGAGAGCUCCCGACAGAUAUUGGAGUCCACGAGGUAGCUUCUUGACGUCCGCAGUCCCGUG